AGGUGGUGCAUGGUUGUCGUCAGCUCGUGUCGUGAGAUGUUCGGGUUAAGUCCCGCAACGAGCGCAACCUCGACCUUAGUUGCCAGCAUUCAGUUGGGCACUCUAAGGUGACUGCCGGCUAAAAGUCGGAGGAAGGUGGGGAUGACGUCAAAUCAUCAUGCCCCUUAUGACCUGGGCUACACACGUGCUACAAUGGGCGGUACAAAGGGUCGCGAACCCGCGAGGGGGAGCCAAUCCCAAAAAGCCGCUCUCAGUUCGGAUUGCAGGCUGCAACUCGCCUGCAUGAAGCCGGAAUCGCUAGUAAUCGCGGAUCAGCACGCCGCGGUGAAUACGUUCCCGGGCCUU
rnacentral:rRNA from 1 species